AACGAACGCUGGCGGCGCGCCUAAUACAUGCAAGUCGAGCGAGAAGACGUAGCAAUACGUUUGUAAAGCGGCGAACGGGUGAGGAAUACAUGGGUAACCUACCCUCGAGUGGGGAAUAACUAGCCGAAAGGUUAGCUAAUACCGCGUACGCUCCUUGGACUUCGGUUCAGGGAGGAAAGCGAUACCGUGGGUAUCGCGCUCUUGGAUGGGCUCAUGUCCUAUCAGCUUGUUGGNGAGGUAACGGCUCACCAAGGCUUCGACGGGUAGCUGGUCUGAGAGGACGAUCAGCCACACUGGCACUGCGACACGGCCCAGACUCCUACGGGAGGCAGCAGUGGGGAAUAUUGCGCAAUGGGCGAAAGCCUGACGCAGCGACGCCGCGUGGGUGAUGAAGGCCUU
rnacentral:rRNA from 1 species